GGCCAGAGCGGUUUCAAACUUAGAAAACUGCGCUCUGAUCGCGGGAACGUACAGACUCGUGCCGCCUCGAGUCCGAUUCUCGGAGCAGGUGUCAGGCGCCCGGCUACUGCUGUGCUGUGGGCACGGCCCGUGACGGUUCUGACGAGCAGCUGGGUAGAGCUCCGGGGGCUGCAGCCACCGAGCUCAGUAACUUCCUUUAAAAGCAACAUAAACAGCACAAAAUUAGACUGUUUUGUGGAAGCAGAAAUGCUUGGUAGUGGUAGGACUCUGUGCGCUUGCCUAGCAUGCCAUUGCAAGGACAAUCAGCAUGGAAAACCAGGACUUUGAGCUCUGCAUCUCUGCUUGAUCUUGACUUGCUGGUUGAUACCAGGAGCUGCUUCCCAGAUCCUCUUGAUUCGGUUCGAGAAGUUAGAAUUACCUGUAAUCAUUGGUAAACCAAAAGUCCCGAAUGGAGAACAAUGACAGGCGCCCACCGAGAAGUCAUCAUUUCAAAAACAUCCAGCUCCCACCUGUGCUUUGGGAUGUGAAAGAAUGACGUUGGCAGGUAGAGGCCUCAAGUUCCUCUCGGAUGCAUCUGGACCAUUUUAUUAGGGAGUCCACUGAGCCUGUGAUCAGCCUGAGUGCAGCUGAUGGUGAGCAGCGCCAAGGUGUGGUACUGAGCUGCUGAUCAAAUUGGUGUAUUUCAGAAGACCUGAAAAAAUUAGAUGAUUGAAACAUCACUCGUAAGCCACAGCUUCACCAUGAGGACUUUAGGAAAAGCAUGGCUGCACAGAGUACCUUCACCAGCAAUCUUCCAGGCUCCGACAAAACUAUUGUUCUUGAAGACCAGAAAGAUUGUUAUUGAGCUUUCCACAAAGCUGAAAUAAUGCUGUGUGUUAAAAAAAUGUUAACAAUUUGAAGAAGUUAUAAAAAUUUAUAAGUUGACUGAAUACUUUGGAAAUUUCUGCAUAUUUUAAUAUAAAUAGGUAAUGCAAAUGUUUGUUCUUUGCAUUUAGAGGUGGGUCUCUGUUUUCUAAAGGUCUUGUAUAUAAAUUUGAUUCUUACAAUUACAUUAGAACAAAACCAGUAUUUUUUCAGAUUGCAUAAUAGGAAAAGUGUAUUUGCCAAAGACACAGAACAUACGUGGUUAUCCCUGAAUGUCACACAGUCAUGAAAUUUAACAUAAAACAGUAUCAGUUGUUUAAACGACUUAACUAAAUGAAGUUAGGGGACUGCCUGUUGCAGUCAGCUGAGGUCCUUCCAUUCAGUUUCUUAGGUCCUGAGUUGGCACACUACGCAAAGAGAAAAGCCAUGCUGCAUCUGGCUGAACUAGAGGAAGUGACAUUUUUAAAGAUAUGCUGAAGUUCCAGAUCGCUCUGAUAUAACUUGCAUAAAAAUUCACUUUCAGAAAAUCAAAGAAAUCGUGGAAGAUGGAGGAGUUAUUUCAGAUGCAUUUGGUGCAGUGAUGAGCUCAAACUUUAUUCGAAACUAUUAUGGUAAAAUAGAACAAGAAGAUACAAAAGAGAGAAAGAAGGAAUAGAAAGUGGUGGAAGGGAAGGGCCUCUGGACUGGUUCUCCUGCUCUGCAGCACAGUUACUUGCCUUUCUCGUUGAGGCUCUUGGUCAUCCCAUCUACCACGGUCAAGAAGACUGCCACAUACAGAUAUGGUGAUCAGUAUGUCUGGUCCAGUUUGAAUGCCCUGUCCUGGAGUGGGAAGCAAGUUCUGCACUGUAUGUGGAUGAAGUUAAUCAGUUUGCAGCGAUGUGAGUACUCUGGGCACGGCGGAGGAGCUUCCCACUGAAUGCGGCACAGCGGCACAGCUGCUGAGGAGAGCAUGGCAACAGCAAGAAAUGGAAUUCACUGAAGAAAGCGCUUGACAAGCCAUGUGAGAACCAGCGUGAGCAGCCAGUGGGCACAGCCCCAUCUUCUUGGGUGUGUUUGAACAUGAGAUUCACCACAUCUGAGAGGACUGGCAUAGCAGCUCAGCCCAGCUAGGCUGGCAGCUGCUCUAGGGAUGCUGUGGGAAAGGGCGCAGGAACAGAUGGAGA
ensembl:lncRNA